ACGAUCUUACUUGAACAGGAUCUGUUCUAUAGGAUUGUACUACUGUGUCCUUAAUUUCUAAGGAAACAGGAACCUAAGUCUGGUGGAUGAACCAUGACCGUGUGAUCAGAGCGUGAUUAACGGCGACGAUGAUCUCCAGUAUCUGGGCAUCAUCUUCCAGCUGUAGAGGAUCGUUCUCAGCCAGUGUCUACUGAUUGCGAUGGUCACGCGGUUGUCUGACAGAUU
rfam:Cicer arietinum chromosome Ca8, whole genome shotgun sequence.